rnacentral:lncRNA from 1 species
GCUGCCUCUAAGUUCCCAGAAAACAACUUAGGCAGCUGUUAGCAUCAUGAUCCACAUGGCAGAGGUGCUAUUUUAGCAAAGCUAAUGGGCCUGACCACCAGGCUGUGAGAAGCCCAAUCCACAUGGACAGGCCACGUGGGGGUGCUCUGGCCAGUCGUCAGCCAUCUCAGCCCAGGUCCCGGUCAUGGGAGUGCACAAACCACCUUGGAAGCUCCAGGUAUCGUGGUGGACAGAAGAACAAUGGCCCUGGUGCCAGGACUCCUGAUCCUCAGAAUCUGGG